rnacentral:rRNA from 1 species
AUACGAAGGGGGCUAGCGUUGUUCGGAAUUACUGGGCGUAAAGCGUGCGCAGGCGGCCUUUCAAGUCAGGGGUGAAAGCCCAGAGCUCAACUCUGGAAUUGCCUUUGAAACUGUUUGGCUUGAGUGCGGGAGAGGUGAGUGGAAUUCCCAGUGUAGAGGUGAAAUUCGUAGAUAUUGGGAAGAACACCGGUGGCGAAGGCGGCUCACUGGCCCGUUUCUGACGCUCAUGCACGAUAGCGUGGGGAUCAAACAGGAUUAGAUACCCUGGUAGUCCACGCUGUAAACUAUGGACGCUAGCCGUUGGGUAGCUUGCUAUUCAGUGGCGCAGCUAACGCAUUAAGCGUCCCGCCUGGGGAGUACGGCCGCAAGGUUGA